GGAAGAUUAAAAAUACUAGAUUAGCAAGCACUGCACCAUUAAUCAUGUAUCACCAAAGCCACAUAGGUGCUGUGAGCUUGUGUUGUACAGGAGAAAUAAAAAUAAGAAAACCAAAACAACCUAAGAAGUAAAGCUCAAUACUGCUGAGAAGUGUUAUGGGCUACUUGCUCUGAAAGUUCAAUUUGUUCUUCUGUUGCAGCAUGGAGAUUUGAGAGGUAGAGAAGUAAUUGCUCCUGUCAUCAGAAGAUCAAGCUGUAGCCCAUUAAGGAAUUAUUGCCAGCUCUAGAGAUGAUUUGAAGCUAUCUGACAUGCACAGUAUGUAAAACGGAAUAACCCAUAGUCGAUAGUGUCAUACAGUUUUCAAUAGAUUCUUAAUAAUGUAUCUUUGUUAAUGAGCUUGCUGUUUCAUAGCCACACCUUUCCUCUGUAAACCACAAGGGAAAGUAAUAAAAUUUAGAUGUAUGGCACUCAUUCUAAAGUUGGUGUGGAAUUAAUUAAAUGCCCCUGACACUCUCUUUUGAGUGAAGAGCUCUUGGAGUGCUGCUGGGAGAGGGGGUAGAAAUGAGAAGUCAGGGUGGGCUAAGUGUGACACCUCAGCUGUCAUGGCCUUGUUUAUGGGGGUCCAGCAAAGUGCACCAGCAGAAGCCAAAUGUUACAGCAAGGUAUUUAAAAUGUCUGUUUAAGGUAGAGGACUACUCAUGUGAAGGGAGGAAGACUCUGGAAGCAAACUUCAUUUCCAUUCCCUCAGCCCUGGUUUGGAGUCUGUUCUCUAUGUGUGUUCUGGAAAGAGGGAGAAGUUACAGAGAGCAGCAGAAUGGUGGCAGUGAAGAGGAAAGAAGGUGGCCAAUGGAAAACAUGGGACAAAAAUAGACAGUAGGAGUGGUGAUUCUGGGUAGAGAGAAGAAACAGAGCCAGAUGGGAGGAUUCAAAAGUGCUUCAGGUAUUAAGCCUUGAAUGACCCUGGAGAAUGUGAA
rnacentral:lncRNA from 1 species